rnacentral:rRNA from 1 species
AAAGGAAUUGACGGGGACCCGCACAAGCAGUGGAGUAUGUGGUUUAAUUCGAAGCUACGCGAAGAACCUUACCAGGGUUUGACAUCCUACUAACGAAGCAGAGAUGCAUUAGGUGCCCUUCGGGGAAAGUAGAGACAGGUGGUGCAUGGUUGUCGUCAGCUCGUGUCGUGAGAUGUUGGGUUAAGUCCCGCAACGAGCGCAACCCCUAUUGUUAGUUGCCAGCAGUAAGAUGGGCACUCUAACGAGACUGCCGAUGAUAAAUCGGAGGAAGGUGGGGAUGACGUCAAAUCAUCAUGCCCCUUAUAUCCUGGGCUACACACGUACUACAAUGGCCGUUCACAACGGGUCGCGAAGCCGCGAGGCGGAGCAAAUCCCACAAAAACGGUCCCAGUUCAGAUUGCAGGCUGCAACUCGCCUGCAUGAAGUAGGAAUUGCUAGUAAUCGCAGAUCAGAAUGCUGCGGUGAAUACGUUCCCGGGUCUUGUACACACCGCCCGU